rnacentral:rRNA from 1 species
GACGAACGCUGGCGGCGUGCUUAACACAUGCAAGUCGAACGAUGAAGCUGGAGCUUGCUCCGGUGGAUUAGUGGCGAACGGGUGAGUAACACGUGAGCAAUCUGCCCUUGACUCUGGGAUAACUGCGGGAAACUGUAGCUAAUACCGGAUACGAGGCUCGAAGGCAUCUUCGGGUCUGGAAAGAAUUUCGGUCAAGGAUGAGCUCGCGGCCUAUCAGCUUGUUGGUGGGGUAAUGGCUCACCAAGGCGACGACGGGUAGCCGGCCUGAGAGGGUGCCCGGCCACACUGGGAAUGGGACACGGCCCAGACUCAGACGGGAGGCAGCAGUGGGGAAUAUUGCACAAUGGGCGAAAGCCUGAUGCAGCAACGCCGCGUGAGGGAUGAAGGCCUUCGGGUUGUAAACCUCUUUUAGCAGGGAAGAAGCGAAAGUGACGGUACCUGCAGAAAAAGCACCGGCUAACUACGUGCCAGCCGCCGCCGUAA